GUUAAGGUGGCAGAGCCCGGCCAUUGCAAAAGACCUAAGCCCUUUCUAUAGAGGUUCAAAUCCUCUCCUUAGCU
rnacentral:tRNA from 1 species